rnacentral:rRNA from 1 species
UACGGAGGGUGCAAGCGUUAAUCGGAAUUACUGGGCGUAAAGCGUGCGCAGGCGGCCCGUUAAGACAGGUGUGAAAUCCCUGGGCUCAACCUAGGAAUUGCGCUUGUGACUGGCGGGCUCGAGUACGGUAGAGGGGGGUGGAAUUCCUGGUGUAGCAGUGAAAUGCGUAGAGAUCAGGAGGAACACCGAUGGCGAAGGCAGCCCCCUGGGCCUGUACUGACGCUCAUGCACGAAAGCGUGGGGAGCAAACAGG